AAGGGCACCACAAGAACGCGUGGAGCAUGUGGCUUAAUUUGACUCAACGCGGGAAAUCUUACCGGGUCCGGACACACUGAGGAUUGACAGAUAUACGCUGCGUUGCUGCACCUUCGGGUGUGCACGUGGCUCAAAGAUGCUAGUUCUUUCAUGAUUAUGUGAUAGGUGGUGCAUGGCCGUUCUUAGUUCGUGGAGUGAUCUGUCUGCUUAAUUGCGUAUCAAUAAUAGAGACCUAGUAUACGCGUAUUACUCAUGUGGUAGUGACCCCCUUCUCACGGAGGCGCGUGCCGCACAUAUGGUAUACGCACUGGUCUCAGAUAGCAACGAACGUGACCG
rnacentral:rRNA from 1 species